ACCCACUAUUUUGUGGGAAACGUCCAUAAUUUCCUUAAUCUUUUAUGGCUUUAGUACGAAUGUAUCUCCAUUGUAACAGAUUCUUUAAUGAGAAAAGCUGUACUUCUUAGAAUAUAAGCCUAUUUGAGACAGCAUUUUAUAAAACCUGGAAAAAGCAGAUUAGAAUUUAAUUAGAGAUGUUAAUACUGCAUUUUGCCAAAGAAUUUAAAAGUUCUCCUUGGGCACAGCAUCUUUGAAACCUUCAUUAAGUUUAUCCUGGAGAUUUCAUCAGCCCAGCUGCUGGAUAAAAGAGCUCCUUGACUCCUUGCCUUCCUACCCUCCACUGCAGAGAUGAAUGGUGAAGUUCUGAGAAGGUUGGAGCAGGAAAAACUAAGGAAGAUUUUGGGCCCAGAGGAAGAGGAGAUGAGAAUGAAGACAUGGAGUCAGUGGACCUUAAUGGCUCAAAAGUCAAAAAGUAGCUAAUAAGCUUCUAGAUUAUAUGGGGGAGUCACU